rnacentral:lncRNA from 1 species
GCCUUGCUUAGCCGGCGGCUUAAUUAGUUUGGUUCAAAGGGCAAGAGCUAGCUCCCGUAUCUAAUGUAUAGCUUGAUUUUCCAUAGGUAAGCACUAUUCUAUUUGAUUAUGUAUGAUUGGGACAAAGAAUCAGUACACAGAUUACAUGAGAGUUUGCACACCCAAAAUCAUCCAGGAUACUAGACUACGAUUUCCAAUUGACAUGUUGCUCUUGAAACAAUCAGCCAAUGAUCGAUGCAAAAAGAUCAAUUCAGUUUGCAUGUAGUUUGUGCGUGUGUGCACAUGCGCCUUCACCUGACGCUAGGCAUAGGCAAUAGGCAAUAGCCUCCGUCAAAUGAAUUGUGUGAUUUGCAUAGGUAAAUGUCCAGGUGAACAACACGUCACCCUUCGUCAACAAACCACUAGCCAACACUGCGGAGACCAUGCAGGACCUCCAGGGGUACUUCUUGAAGAUCGCCGACAUCAUCGACAAGCACGCAGUUAUAAUGGUACGUACAACUUGUCAUUGUCACCUACAAUAUUACCCAAACAAAUCCAAACAAUCAUCAAUAACGUACAGAGAUUCAAUCUCUCCAAACAGAAUAUCUCUCCAGACAGCAUCCAAAACUCUUCCCAUAGUGCACAAAAAAACCUCUCUUUCCGUCAUGCAAACUGGUAAGUAGAACUUCGGAAUUGUCUUCCUCUAGCGGGCACAAGCCGUCUCCGUCGAGCAAUCAGACCACAUCAAGUCAGUACCAUCUGCACGAAAUUACAGAUUAGACCUAAUGGAUCAACAAUAAUUCAAUUAUACUCUAGGCAGUGCUCAUCUAAAAAGAUUUGACAUGUUACUUCGGAAGGUUGCUUAUGUAGAAUUCCAUAGGUGUGAGUUCCUGUCUUAAUGGUGUCACGGUCAAACUUUUUACUUAUCUAGAGAAGAUUGAUGCCAUGUAUGUUGCUUCCAAUGUAUUCACUUUAAGAUAACAUACUAUAAAAGUCUAUAAUUAUACUACAGCUAUAACAGAAACAAAUGGGAUGCAUGCUGCGAUAUAGAGAAACAUAUAUGGUGCAUCAGAUGGUUUUCAUAUUAUAAAUCAGACCUUUUAAUGGAUCAAUAAUACUUCAAUUAUUUUGUAGGCAGUUCUAAUCUAAAAAGAUUUGACAUGUUAGCUCACAAGGUUCAUUAUGUAGAAACAGAAGAAACUAUGAAGAGUAUUCGACAUUAAAUAAUGCAAUUCUAUAUGUGUGGAUUCCUAUCUUAAUGGUUGCAUGUUAAUACUUUUACUCGUCUAGAGAAAGCUGAUGCCAUGGGUGUUGGUUCCAGUGUAUCUACGCUAAGAUAAUAUACUCUAGAAGACUAGAGCCAUACUACAGCUAUAACAGAAACAAAUAGGAUUGAUUGCUGCAAUAUAGAUAAACAUAUAUAGAUGGUUUUCAUAUUUGACCAACCUCAUAUUCGAUAGUGGUCGUAAUGCCACCGGCUCCAUCUGAAACAAAAAUUCAGACCAACUAUCAAUGAAAUUGUAUUUAUUCAUCUACUAUGAUUUCAUAUAUCUUUUCCAGUUUAAAAAAUCUUCAAUUUUCUUUGUUGUCACAUAAUCACUUGAGACUUUGGGACGUAGUUAACUUAUAGACUAAUGCGAUCCAUGCAUUAGAUAAAAAAAAGUUCAAGUAUUACAUAUAUAAUGUCUCUUCAGUUUUCCUUUUCCGAAGUUUGCUAACGUAUUCUCUCUGUGUAGGGCAAUGCGAUCCAUGCUUCUAUUGGGAGAAAACUGGUCAAUAAAUUUAAAGCAAACAUGAAAGGACUUCAUCUACAUAAUUAAGACCUUCAAAGUCUAGGAGUACGAAAAAUACAGACCAUUGAAGAACAAUCUCAAAAUCAGUUUUCUUUUUGAUACAACAGCGAUUAUCAAGAUGCUAUAGCAAGACGUCGGUGGGCUGAAUACACAGACCUAUUUGUGACAGUCACGUGCAACACAGCUUGGCCGGAUAUUCAACCUAUGCUUAUGGAAGUAGGCCAAACAACAUCCGAAAGAGCUGAUAUUGUUGAUUGAGUGUUCCACAUAAAGCUCAAGGAGUUCACGAGGGACAUGAUAUGGCAGAAUGGAUAUAAUCUGCUACUCCUAGAAGUAUUGGAAUUUGGAAACAUGCAUCAACAUUUGAUGGAAAUAGAUGAAUAAUACCAAAUGUGACACUUUGAGUUAUCUGAUAUUUGAAGCUUAUUCUGUAGUACAAGCCAAUAGUGACAGCAUGUGCGUGCAUCAUUUUAGUUCAUAUGUAGGAUGCACUCGCAACUAUUUUCCUAUUAUUUUUAUCUUUGGGAAAUACUAAGACAUGGCUAAUCACGAAUACACUAAUUACUUACUAAAUUUGUUGAAUAUGAAUGGGGGCAGGGGGCCAUACACAGAUAUACACCUUCCACUAACAAGAAUUACCUUAAUCCCAUUAUAUUGGUUUACCCAUACGCAUGCAGAAAAAGGAUAGGAAACAAGAAAAAUAUUGGAGAGGCAGGAAAAGAGAGAAGUGGGGCCUGCAGGUGGAAGAAUGAGCUGCCGAAAUCAGGCUGCCACUGUCGAGGAUGAAGACGACCUGCCGAGCUUCCUAGCUCAGGGGAGACACGAUGCGAUGGAAGAAAUCCGUCAGCAUCCUCAUAAUCAAGGUGGAUCCAAA